AAGAAGAAAAUAGGAACUUUAAAAUGUACGGCUACUUUUUAGAUUUUUGCAGUGCCUUCUGAUGUGAAUAUUUUACCAGAAUGCCAAAAUGACCCUCGAGUGGUAUCAAACUUAUUAGACGGAGUAAAUCGAACAAAAGAUGAUUUGCAUAUCUGGCUGGCGCCCUUUUACCAGGGUAGAAUCCACAUUAUUACAAUUGAAUUUGAAAACAUUGUCACCAUUGCUAUGGUCAGAAUUUGGGUAAAAUGAAACCAUCUUUGCUAGUACAGCUCGAUAAAUCACAAUGUGUUUGGUCUUAACAGAACUAUAAUAAAUCCAGGAUUCAUUCAUAUCGAGGUGCCAAGGAUAUCGUUAUGCUUUUGGACGACGAGCUUAUAUUUAAGGGAGAAAUUGCUAAAGCGUGUGGAGGGAUACAAGGAGGAUUGCAGAAUUUUGGAGAUGUAAAUCUAGAUAUUUGAAAAUCCUUGAAAGUCAUAAAUCUCAAUUUACAGACCAUUUUAUUUACCACGGACGAUAUAAUCUUAGAGAAAAUAUCCCUCAAUGAUUCUUCAUUUUUAAGCAUGACAUAUGAACCGCAUUCGCCCAGUAGAGACGAGCGACCUCCGACUUCAGUUCUAUUAUCUGAGAUUCGUCCUGUGACUGGUUUACCUUCUACUAAAUCAAGUACAGCCAAUACUGAACAACAAUCUCAACUAGAUGGAUCUCCAGAGCAAAUCCUUUUAGGCGCUCGAACCUUGGAUUUGAUAUUAGUGGAAAACUGGGGAAAUCCCUUGGCAACAGGCUUAACUGGAAUUGAGAUUGUUGAAGGUACAGAUAAUAUUUUAAGCUUAAAGUACGGACAGCUGAGCAGCAAUGUGAAAAGCAAAAAUUUGAAAAAUCUGGUAAAUAGGGAAAAUGUUACCACCGAUUCGAAAAAUAUGUGGUGUGUUCCCUUGCAACAGGAUAACGUGGUUAUUUCUAUUGAUUUGUGUGAAUUUAAGUAUCUCUCCGGUAUGUUCCAUCAGGUUAAGUCAAAGAAAUAAUGCUAAAUUAAUGGUUCGCUUUAGGGCUCAGAGUAUGGAAUUACAAUGAAAAUCUAGAGCUCAGCUAUGCCGGAGUCAAGAUUGUUAAAAUAUUCUUGGAUAACCAAUUAAUUACUAAUCCUUCACUUAAUAGCGACUAUUUCUUACUACGAAGAGCUCCUGGCAACUCAUUCUACGAUUUUGUACAGGAUAUAAGGUAGAUAACAUGUUGUGUUAACUGCGCUUUUAAAUUAGUUUUUAAUAACCUGAAUAAAUAUGUUUGGUCAACCAGCUUUGUUGAACAAGGCAUAAUUCCAAAAGUGUAUUCUCCAACAAUUGAUUGCGUUUUUGGUUUUGUAAUGGAAAUCGUAAUCUAUUCAACAUGGGGCGAUCAGUACUACUGUGGUUUGAACGGCAUUAAACUGUACGAUGAUAAUGGUGACCUAAUUGUGCUUGAGGAACAAAGUAUUAAUAUUUCCUAAUUCAAAUGAAAACAUUGAAAAUAAUGACUUUUAGAUGUUUGCGCUUAUCCGGAAAGUGUAAACGUGCUACCAAAUGUAAGCGACGAUCCGCGAACGCCAGAAAAACUUAUAGAAGAUGACAACGAGAACGACUCGGGUUGCCAUUCUUGGUUGGCACCACGAAUACCGAAGCACCUAAAUAGGGUCUAUAUUGUAAUGGACAUGCCGAUAGCCAUUUCUUAUGUAAAGAUGUGGAAUUAUUCGAAAACUUCCAGUAGGGGAGUGAAAGAUUUUGGGGUGAUUCAUUUGAUUAUAUUGAUAAUAAGUAGUUUAUGAUGAUGUUUUUCUAAUUUAGAUCUUAAUUGACGAUUUACUGGUAUAUAACGGCACACUAAACCAAUUUUGCGAAGAAGAGGAUCGAUGCCAGUUGAUAUUUCUAAACGAUGCCGAAUUGCAAAGUGAAGAUGAUGAAAAUUAUGAUUCAAACAGCAAAACGAUAUCAGUGCCGAGCACCACACAAAUGACCAAGAGCUCACCAGACACUGAGGAGGCUGAUCAAAGUUUAAGGCCAAUGACAUGCAUAAGUCCUUGUUUCAAAUAGAACGCGGAUUUACCAUUUACGCCAUACCAAAAUUAAUUCAUAUUUUGAUAAAUUAGCUAUUUUAGUUUAUUAGUUACUGCACUAACAAACUAUUUUUUGCCUUUCGCAAAAACUCACUUUAUUCCGGUCGCAACUUUAAUUAAUUAAUUUUUAGAUUAAUCCGAUAUCCCUUAUUAUUUAAUUUACCCUUCUGGCAUUUAAUCUUUAACCACUGGUCUUUGUUUGACCCAAUAACUCAGUUAUCUAAUUAAAACAAAACAAUAUUGUAUGAUAUAAUAAAUGUAAUAAAAAGUUGUGGCAUGAUAUACAAACAAUAAUAUAUGAUUAAUGUAUAAGCACA
rnacentral:misc_RNA from 1 species